CAUCGUGAAGUGGAAUCUGAAAGAAGCCGGAGGCAACCCCUCGGUUCAACGAACAGGAAUCGCAUAUAAGGCAUUUGCGGGACGGACGAGUUUGCGGUACAAGACGAAAUUCAACACUGCACGAAUCCCGUGGUGUAAAUGCGGCGAAUAUAUGAGGAGAA
rnacentral:ncRNA from 1 species